rnacentral:rRNA from 1 species
GAACGCCGUAGCAAUACGGAGUGGCAGACGGGUGAGUAACGCGUGGGAACAUGCCCUUUGGUUCGGAAUAACUCAGGGAAACUUGAGCUAAUACCGGAUACGUCCAAGGCGACUUGGAGAAAGAUUUAUCGCCGGAGGAUUGGCCCGCGUCUGAUUAGCUAGUUGGUGGGGUAAUGGCCUACCAAGGCAACGAUCAGUAGCUGGUCUGAGAGGAUGAUCAGCCACAUUGGGACUGAGACACGGCCCAAACUCCUACGGGAGGCAGCAGUGGGGAAUAUUGGACAAUGGGCGCAAGCCUGAUCCAGCCAUGCCGCGUGAGUGACGAAGGCCUUAGGGUUGUAAAGCUCUUUUGCCUGGGAAGAUAAUGACGGUACCAGGAGAAUAAGCCCCGGCUAACUUCGUG